AAAUAGCUUUUACCACCCAACUGCUGCCCCAUGCUCCACCUGCAAAUUCUGUUUGACAGUUAAAGAAACACCUCCACCAGCUGCCUCUCACUGCCACCUUCAGGUUUAAACUCUGCCAACUCCAGCUUCUGCCAGCAACCUGCUGCCACCGCCUCCAGCUGCAGAUUCUGGAAGACAGCUGCAGCCAAACCAUCUAUCGCCUCCUUAGUGUCCAGCUCCAUCCUACACCGAAACAGCUACGGCCAAACCUCCACCUCCAGCCUCUGCCAGCAACCUGCAGAUUCUGGCAGACCUCUGCAGUCAACCCUCCAUCUACAGCCUCUGCCAGCAACCUGCACCACUACCUCCAACUGCAGGUUCUAGCAGACAGCUGCAGUCAAACCUCCACCUCCAGCCUCUGCCAGCAACCUGCAGCCGCCGCCUCCACCUGCCAGUUCUAGCAGACAGCUACGGCCAAACCUCCAUCUACAGCCCUUUUCAGCAACCUGCAGGUGAUGCCUCCACCUGCAAAUUCUGACAGACAGCUGCGGCCAAACUUCAGCCUACAGCCUCUGCCAAUAACCUGCAGCCGCCGCCUCCACCUGCAGGUUGUGACCAAACCUCUAUCUCCAGCCUCCUCCAGCCUCCUGCACCUCUGACUCCUGUCCUGCCCCCAUGUGAAGACCUCAGUUUAACAGAAGGGACCAGAGAUACACAUGUAUUUCAGAGACACUGUGUGAAAGAAGAGCACACCUGUCAGCAUGAACCGGGCUGAACUUCAUCUACCAGAGACAGCUCCUUUUCCUCCACUCGUCUGAACUCAAGUCCCUGAUGAUGGACUUCAACAUCUACCAGGAGCUGAUCAACGGCAAAGAAGACCGGAGAUGAUUAUGCCUCCUCCCCAUGCAGAGAUACUCCCAUUCUCUCUCCCUCCCACUCUCCCCCUCUCUCCACCCCUCCCUCACUCUAACUCCCACACUCAGUGCCCCCUUCUCUCCCUCCAUCCCUCCCUCCUCUGUCACCCCCUCCAACCCAACCGGUCGAGGCAGAUGGCCGCCCACCAUAGAGCCUGGUUCUGCUCGAGGUUUCUGCCUGUUAAAAGGCAGUUUUUCCUCGCCACCGUUGCCAAAGUGCUUGCUCAUGGUGGGAAUUUGUUGGGUCUCUGUUAACUAAAGAGUAUAGUCUAGACCUGCUCUGUAUGAAAUAUAAGUACAUUUGACUUGAUUUGGCUUUAAAAUGCUUGUGUGUGUCUUUCACUUUCUUAUAAGUCAUCAUGCCC